rnacentral:misc_RNA from 1 species
GCCUACUGUUUAAUUUUGAGGGUUCGUUUUUACGAAUACUCAAAAUUAGCACUUUAAGCAACGGGAUUUAUCCGUUGGCGCCGUGCUUUAGCACUUUUAGCAACAGAAUAAACUGAACGCAUGUGAAGUUUGUUUGUUGGCGCUGUGCGUUAGCACUUUAAGCAACGGAAUUUAUUCGUUGGCGCUGUGCGUUAGCACUUUGAAAACUGCAUAUAUAUUUAGUGAUAUGACAUCUAAUUUGUAAUAUAUAAAGCUGAUAACUUUUUAAAAUUAUCGAAGUUGAUAGCUUCUAAUCUAUCAAACCUUUUUAACUGGUCAA